rnacentral:lncRNA from 1 species
CCCAGGUGUGGACAUAGCACCGCUUGGCGAGCCAUACUGUGGCAGGAGUCUAUAUCCAGUUCCUGUUUUUUCAACUUGGCAAGAAGUGGAAUUCAUACAGUUCUCACUUAAAAUUUAAAGUCAGAUUACAUCAAUCUCCUCUUAAAACCUUCUUUUGGCUCAUUUUUUCCUUAAUGUAAACUCUGAAUUCCUCCUUAAUGCCACAAGCCCUGUCUAAUUCAGCUCCUACCUGCUUUCUGGCCUUAUACACCAUCCUUCCAGGAAAUUUGUCUAUGUAGCAGAGACUGACCCAGAGCUAACAUCCAUGCCCAUCUUCCUCUGCUACUCUGCUUUAUAUGUGGGACACCUGCCACAGCAUGGCUUGACAAGCAGUGCGUAGGUCUGCACCCGGGAUCCGAACUGG